rnacentral:rRNA from 1 species
UAGGGAAUUGUUCGCAAUGGGCGCAAGCCUGACGACGCAACGCCGCGUGGAGGAUGAAGACCUUCGGGUCGUAAACUCCUUUCGAUCGAGACGAACGGCUUCCGGCUGAAUAAUCCGGGAGAAUGACGGUACCGAGAGAAGAAGCCCCGGCUAACUCCGUGCCAGCAGCCGCGGUAAUACGGGGGGGGCAAGCGUUGUUCGGAAUUACUGGGCGUAAAGGGCUCGUAGGUGGCCAACUAAGUCAGACGUGAAAUCCCUCGGCUUAACCGGGGAACUGCGUCUGAUACUGGAUGGCUUGAGAUUGGGAGAGGGAUGCGGAAUUCCAGGUGUAGCGGUGAAAUGCGUAGAUAUCUGGAGGAACACCGGUGGCGAAGGCGGCAUCCUGGACCAACACUGACACUGAGGAGCGAAAGCCAGGGGAGCAAACGGGAUUAGAUACCCCGGUAGUCCUGGCCCUAAACGAUGAAUGCUUGGUGUGGCGGGUAUCGAUCCCUGCCGUGCCGAAGCUAACGCAUUAAGC